rnacentral:rRNA from 1 species
UACGGAGGGUGCAAGCGUUAUCCGGAUUCACUGGGUUUUAAGGGUGCGUAGGUGGGUCUGUAAGUCAGUGGUGAAAUCUCCGGGCUUAACCCGGAAACUGCCAUUGAUACUAUAGGUCUUGAAUUAUCUGGAGGUAAGCGGAAUAUGUCAUGUAGCGGUGAAAUGCUUAGAUAUGACAUAGAACACCAAUUGCGAAGGCAGCUUACUACGGAUUGAUUGACACUGAGGCACGAAAGCGUGGGGAUCAAACAGG